rnacentral:rRNA from 1 species
GUAGGUGGCAAGCGUUGUCCGGAAUUAUUGGGCGUAAAGCGCACGCAGGCGGUUUUUUAAGUCUGAUGUGGAAGCCCACGGCUCAACCGUGGAGGGUCAUUGGAAACUGGAGAACUUGAGUACAGAAGAGGAAAGCGGAAUUCCACGUGUAGCGGUGAAAUGCGUAGAGAUGUGGAGGAACACCAGUGGCGAAGGCGGCUUUCUGGUCUGUAACUGACGCUGAGGCGCGAAAGCGUGGGGAGCAAACAGGAUUAGAUACCCUGGUAGUCCACGCCGUAAACGAUGAGUGCUAAGUGUUAGGGGGGUUUUCCGCCCCCCUUAGUGCUGCAGCUAACGCAUUAAGCACUCCGCCUGGGAGUACGGCCGCAAGGCUG